UGGGCCAAUGAUGCGAAUGGAAUGCAUCUGAAUUAAAAUCAUGAUCAAUCAUUUUUUGUACCACUGAGGUCCUU
ensembl:snoRNA